UACGUAGGGUGCGAGCGUUGUCCGGAAUUAUUGGGCGUAAAGAGCUCGUAGGCGGUUUGUUGCGUCUAUCGUGAAAACCUGCAGCUUAACUGUGGGCUUGCGGUGGAUACGGGCAGACUUGAGUUCGGUAGGGGAGAAUGGAAUUCCUGGUGUAGCGGUGGAAUGCGCAGAUAUCAGGAGGAACACCGAUGGCGAAGGCAGUUCUCUGGGCCGUAACUGACGCUGAGGAGCGAAAGCGUGGGGAGCGAACAUG
rnacentral:rRNA from 1 species